rnacentral:rRNA from 1 species
CCUACGGGAGGCUGCAGUCGAGAAUCAUUCACAAUGGGGGAAACCCUGAUGGUGCGACGCCGCGUGGGGGAAUGAAGGUCUUCGGAUUGUAAACCCCUGUCAUGUGGGAGCAAAUUAAAAAGAUAGUACCACAAGAGGAAGAGACGGCUAACUCGGUGCCAGCAGCCGCGGUAAUACAGAGGUCUCAAGCGUUGUUCGGAAUCACUGGGCGUAAAGUGUGCGUAGGCGGUUUCGUAAGUCGGUUGUGAAAGGCGCGGGCUCAACCCGCGGACGGCACAUGAUACUGCGAGACUAGAGUAAAGGAGGGGGAACCGGAAUUCGCGGUGUAGCAGUGAAAUGCGUAGAUAUCGACAGGAACACGCGUGGCGAAGGCGGGUUCCUGGACAGUAACUGACGCUGAGGCACGAAGGCCAGGGGAGCGAAAGGGAUUAGAUACCCUAGUAGUC